rnacentral:rRNA from 1 species
CCUACGGGCGGCAGCAGUGAGGAAUAUUGGUCAAUGGCCGAGAGGCUGAACCAGCCAAGUCGCGUGAGGGAAGACGGCCCUACGGGUUGUAAACCUCUUUUGUCGGGGAGCAAAGAGAGUCACGUGUGACUCAUUGAGAGUACCCGAAGAAAAAGCAUCGGCUAACUCCGUGCCAGCAGCCGCGGUAAUACGGGGGAUGCGAGCGUUAUCCGGAUUUAUUGGGUUUAAAGGGUGCGCAGGCGGAGGUGCAAGUCAGCGGUCAAAUUGCGGGGCUCAACCCCGUACUGCCGUUGAAACUGCAGCCCUUGAGUGCGCGAGAAGUAGGCGGAAUGCGUGGUGUAGCGGUGAAAUGCAUAGAUAUCACGCAGAACUCCGAUUGCGAAGGCAGCAUACCGGCGCGCAACUGACGCUCAUGCACGAAAGCGUGGGUAUCGAACAGGAUUAGAUACCCGAGUAGUC